rnacentral:rRNA from 1 species
ACUACGUGCCAGCAGCCGCGGUAAUACGUAGGGUGCAAGCGUUAUCCGGAAUUAUUGGGCGUAAAGGGCUCGUAGGCGGUUCGUCGCGUCCGGUGUGAAAGUCCAUCGCUUAACGGUGGAUCCGCGCCGGGUACGGGCGGGCUUGAGUGCGGUAGGGGAGACUGGAAUUCCCGGUGUAACGGUGGAAUGUGUAGAUAUCGGGAAGAACACCAAUGGCGAAGGCAGGUCUCUGGGCCGUUACUGACGCUGAGGAGCGAAAGCGUGGGGAGCGAACAGGAUUAGAUACCCUGGUAGUCCACGCCGUAAACGGUGGAUGCUGGAUGUGGGGACCAUUCCACGGUCUCCGUGUCGGAGCCAACGCGUUAAGCAUCCCGCCUGGGGAGUACGGCCGCAAGGCUAAAACUCAAAGAAAUUGACGGGGGCCCGCACAAGCGGCGGAGCAUGCGGAUUAAUUCGAUGCAACGCGAAGAACCUUACCUGGGCUUGACAUGUUCCCGACGGUCGUAGAGAUGCGGCUUCCCUUCGGGGCGGGUUCACAGGUGGUGCAUGGUCGUCGUCAGCUCGUGUCGUGAGAUGUUGGGUUAAGUCCCGCAACGAGCGCAACCCUCGCCCUGUGUUGCCAGCACGUCGUGGUGGGAACUCACGGGGGACCGCCGGGGUCAACUCGGAGGAAGGUGGGGAUGACGUCAGAUCAUCAUGCCCCUUACGUCCAGGGCUUCACGCAUGCUACAAUGGCCGGUACAACGGGAUGCGAC